GUGAGGGCUAAUGCCCACACACUCCUCACACACACACCGGCCCGAUGAAUUCGGGCUUU
rnacentral:sRNA from 1 species